AUUGUGACGUCAUCCAUGUCAGCGAGCUACCCUAUGCAUUAUGACGUCAUACACUUGUAAAAUUAAAGUUUCAUUUUCACUUUUGUUUCUAAGAAGUCAACAUAGAUUUUCAAAAAAUGUAGGACUAUCUUUUGUUUUUCCUCUCUUUUACUUUGAUGAUUGUUAUGUUAUGAAGCUUUUCUUGUAUAAAGCUCAAUUUCUCUAUCACCACGGAAGUAAACAUCCUGAUGCAUUCUUGUCAUGUGAAUGUUGAGAGCGUGUUCAUUUUUGAAAUCUCCUUUCUGACAGAUAUAUUCUACAGGAUCAGCUGAGAUGUUAUUUCACUGGAUUAUUUAAUGGAUAGGCUUAUUGGGCAUAUAGUUGGAUAUCUCUGUCAUCAACAUGAAAUGUAUGACUUCAUCUUUAUACAGUCGGGUUCGGGUUCAGCGGCCAUGGCGAAUCUCGGCAAGAUUUUACCCCAGUGAAAAAAGACUUGUAAUCCACCGUUCCUCAACCUGGAAGAUAUGUUUUGUUCCUAACCAUCUAUAAUCCAUUCUCUAUGAAGUGAAGCCUGGCUGCUGGUCUUCUUUUGGAAAUACACAGUUUGUCAAUCAACAUACAAACACACAAACUUGAAGGUAAAGUUUCAAUGAGAUACAAUUGUAACUUUUAUUUAUUUAUUUAUUUAUUUUUUGUUACAUAUGCAUGUUUAUAUUUUGGAAUUGAUAAGUAAAUGAUAUAUGAUUUUUUAAAUAAAGGGGGUUUGGUGGUCAUGGUCAUGUUUAAACCAUAUUGAUAUCCUUCACAAGAAAAGGCAUAAAAAUUCAUGAUCAAAUUUUAAAACUAAAAUGUAUGAAGUUUUUCUGUGCCAAAUGAUAGUUAACAGCUAAAGAUAGCAUAUCUGUGGAAUAAGUUAAAUAUGGCUAAUUUGUUAACCCCCAGCUUCCUUAAUAGCAUAGUUGGUAAAGAUAGCAAGUUUUGACUUCAAUUGCUGAUGAAUUCCCAAUUUUUCAUUUAAUAUUAACAUUAUAUCACAGGGAAAGAAUACUAUAAUGUGGCCCAUCAGGAUGACCAGAAAAGAAAUCUGAAUGACCCUCUUGAUUAUGCAUAAAGACUGUAACCAUAUAACUGAUGUAAGAUGAUCUGAUUGUGUGGAAUUAAAAUUUCCUGGUGUUUCUACUACCCAAGAUCUUCUUAUGAGUGCAUGGGACUGCUGUAAACCUUCUGUUAAAGCACACCUUGGAGCAUGACACUUUAUUCAUUUAAGGAUUCUCUUGUGAGGGCUUAUGGAAAUGAUCUAUGUCUACUCUUAGAAUGGUGAAAGACUAUCAGAUUAUGCAAAGAUUAACAGAAUAUCCUCUCUUGGAACACUGAAACAAGAAAACCGAACUUAAGAGGAUGAAGGAUUUAAG